UUAUAAGCAAUUAAGAGUAUAUGGUGAAUGCCUUGGCACAAAAAGCCGAAGAAGGACGUGGCAGGCUGCGAUAAGCCUCGGAUAGCCGUCAACAGGCGCUUUAAUCCGGGGAUUUCCGAAUGGGGAAACCCACUUCUGUUUAAACAGAUUUACUACAUGCUGAAUAUAUAGGCAUGUUAGAGGUAAGCCGGUGAAUUGAAACAUCUCAGUAACCGGAAGAAAAAAGACAAAGAUUGUUAUUCCCUAAGUAGUGGCGAGCGAAAGGGGAAGAGCCCAAACUUCACAGGUAGGACAAGACUUCUGAGUCUGCGUUGCAGACAAGGUCGUCAAGUCGUCCCGGCAGGGAUGGUUGCAGUGAAGGGUUGUAGGGUGUAGCGACGGUAAUCUGCCGAGUACCGAGACAAGUUACCAAACAUAUAAUUAGUAAAAUACGGUUGGAAAGCCGAACCAAAGAAGGUAAUAGUCCUGUAUGCGAAAAUUAUAUGUCUUGUCAGUUACAUACCUAAGUAUCACGGUCUAGGAGUAAUCCCGUGAGAAUCUGCCGGAACCACCCGGUAAGGCUAAAUACUUUUUGUGACCGAUAGUGAACAAGUACCGUGAGGGAAAGGUGAAAAGAACCCCUGUUAGGGGAGUGAAAUAGAAUCUGAAACCAUAUACUUACAAGCAGUCAAAGCAUCAAUUUAUUGGUGUGAUGGCGUGCCUAUUGAAGAAUGAGCCUGCGAGUUAUUAUGUACCGUGCGGUUAAACUGUUAAGCAGUGGAGCCAAAGGGAAACCAAGUCUGAAAGGGCGACUUUAUGGUGCAUAAUAGACCCGAAACCGAGUGAGCCACCCAUGAGCAGGAUGAACCUCGUAGAAAUACGAGGGGAGGUCCGAACCAGUGAAUGUUUCAAAAUUCUUGGAUGACUUGUGGGUAGAGGUUACACGUCUAUCGAACUCGGAUAUAGCUGGUUCUCUCCGAAACAACUUUCGGGUUGGCCUUGGUUAGUAGCACAUGGAGGUAGAGCACUGAUUCGAUCGUCGGGGGAUUCGUCCUUACGGCAUCUUCUCAAACUCCGAAUGCCAUGUGUGUAAGACCAGGAGUUAGACUGUGGGAGAUAAGUUUCAUUUGUCAAAAGGGGAACAGCCCAGACCAUCUGCUAAGGUCCCUAAAUCUAUGCUAAGUGGAGAAGGAUGUGAGAUUUCAUAAACAGCCAGGAGGUUUGCUUAGAGGCAGCAAUCCUUUAAAGAGUGCGUAACAGCUCACUGGUCUAGAGGUCUUGCGCCGAUAAUUUAACGGGGCUCAAGCAUAGUACCGAAGCAAUGGAAUUGUGGUUCACACAAAGUGUUUUUAUGUAAGAUAACUAUGAACUCUUUGUGUGAACCAUAAUUGGUAGGAGAGCGUUGUGUGUGCGUUGAAGGCGUAGUUGUAAGACUUACUGGAGCGCACACAAGUGAGAAUGCAGGCAUGAGUAGCGUAAUCCAGGUGAAAAACCUGGACACCGAAUGAGUAAGGUUUCCUUGGCCAUGUUAGUCAUCCAAGGGUUAGUCGGUCCUAAGCCGAGGCUGAAAAGCGUAGGUGAUGGACAUCCGGUUAAUAUUCCGGAACCAUUCGUGUAUCGUUAUCAACUAUGGGGAGACUGGAGAGGAGAUUCUGAAGUGCUGAUAGGUCAGCAUUCAAGCAACAAGCCAGUUCUGUUAGGUAAAUCCGGCAGAACGCUAACGCGAGUUGUUACGACGAGCCAAAUCCUACGGGAAGCGGCGAGUUCAGAUAUUCUGUCUACUAGAAAACCCUCUAUGUGAGAUACAUGAUUGACCGUACCGCAAACCGACACUGGUACUCUGGUAGAGUAUACCAAGGUGUACGAGUUAGCCCUCGUUAAGGAAUUCGGCAAUUUAACCCCGUAACUUAGGGAGAAGGGGUCCCAGCGAUCUUCGGAUUUGCUGGGCGCAGAUAAAUGGCCCAAUCGACUGUUUAACAAAAACACAGGUCCCUGCAAAAGCGCAAGCUGAAGUAUAGGGGCUGACACCUGCCCAAUGCCAGAAGAUUACGGAAGGCGGUUAUCCACUUCGGUGGAGAAGCUGCUGACUUAAGUCCUGGUCAAUGGCGGCUGUAACUAUAACGGUCCUAAGGUAGCGAAGUUCCUCGGCGCUUAAUAGGCGUCCCGCACGAAAGGUGUAACGAGUUGGGCACUGUCUCAACGAGGGGCUCGGCGAACAUUGAAAUGGCAGUGAAGAUGCUGCCUACCCACACCAGGACAAAAAGACCCCGGGAUCUUUACUGCAUCUUGGCAUUGGAAUAGAGUUCCUUUUGUAGAGCGUAGGAGGGAGACUUUGAAGCAUUCGCGUCAGCGGGUGUGGAGUCGACAAUGUAACACCUCCCUUAAGCUAUUCUAUUUCUUAUUUCGACCGUAAUCCGGUUUGAAAGACAUUGUCAGGUGGGCAGUUUGACUGGGGCGGUUUCUUACUAAAGAGUAACGUAAGAUUUCAAAGGUCGACUCAAGCUGGAUGGAAAUCAGCUGUAGAGCGUAAUGGUAUAAGUCGGCUUUACUGCGAGACUGACAAGUCGAGCAGUUACGAAAGUAGGACAUAGUGACCCUUAGAUGGCGUGUGGAAGCGUCUUUGUUUAAAGGAUAAAAGUUACCCCGGGGAUAACAGGCUGGUCUUGCCCAAGCGUUCAUAGCGACGGCAAGGUUCGGCACCUCGAUGUCGGCUCGUCGCAUCCUGGGGGUGAAGAAGCUCCCAAGGGUUGGGCUGUUCGCCCAUUAAAGCGGCACGCGAGCUGGGUUCAAACCGACGUGAGUCAGGUUGGUCUCUAUCCGGUGUGGGCGUUAGAAUCUUGAGGGAAUUGACUUUCAGUACGAGAGGAUCAAGGUGAGGUUACCACUGGUGAACCAGUUGUCCUACCAGGGGCAUAGCUGGGUAGCUACGUAGCUAUUUGGAUAAACGCUGAAAGCAUAUAAGCGUGAAGCCAAUCCCAAGAUGAGGAUUCUUUUAAGUCCCCCUGUAGAUAACAGGGUAUAUAGACUCCAGGUGUAAGCACAGUAAUGUGUGUAGCCGAGGAGAAACUAAUUGGACGUCAGCUUA
rnacentral:rRNA from 1 species